rnacentral:rRNA from 1 species
GAUGAACGCUAGCGGCAGGCCUAACACAUGCAAGUCGAGGGGUAACGGGAAAAGCUUGCUUUUCGCCGACGACCGGCGCACGGGUGCGUAACGCGUAUACAAUCUACCUUUUGCUGUGGGAUAGCCCAGGGGAAACUUGGAUUAAUACCGCAUAGUAUAUAGUAGUGGCAUCACUACUAUAUUAAAGGUUACGGCAAAAGAUGGAGUAUGCGUUCUAUUAGCUAGAUGGUGUGGUAACGGCACGACCAUGGCAACGAUAGAUAGGGGGCCCUGAGAGGGGGAUCCCCCGACACUGGUACUGAGACACGGACCAGACUCCUACGGGAGGCAGCAGUGAGGAAUAUUGGACAA